rnacentral:rRNA from 1 species
ACAGCAGUCGCCGCGGUAAUACAGAGGGUGCGAGCGUUAAUCGGAUUUACUGGGCGUAAAGCGUGCGUAGGCGGCUUCUUAAGUCGGAUGUGAAAUCCCUGAGCUUAACUUAGGAAUUGCAUUCGAUACUGGGAAGCUAGAGUAUGGGAGAGGAUGGUAGAAUUCCAUGUGUAGCGGUGAAAUGCGUAGAGAUCUGGAGGAAUACCGAUGGCGAAGGCAGCCAUCUGGCCUAAUACUGACGCUGAGGUACGAAAGCAUGGGGAGCAAACAGGAUUAGAUACCCGUGUAGUCCCUGUCUCUUAUAC